ACUCUGAAUGAUGAUACUCCAUAUACAAUAUUUUCUGGUACCUCUUGAUUUAAUAGAGUCUCAUGACUCUAUAAUGAUCUCAACGGACUUCUGACU
rnacentral:snoRNA from 1 species